AUGGAAACAUAGGGAAGAAAGGAAGGAAGACAAGACCGUUAGGUCACCCUCGGCGAAGAGGCUUCUCCUUCUAUUUUCCUACCUUAUUUGGCUUUUCGCUCGUUGCACACAGGGGAGAGGAGAGAAGGGAGAGAGAUGAGGGAAUCGUUUUGGGUUCGGGAGGAGGCCUAUGCGUUGAGGUCCUGGUGGGAUGAGAUUAAUGAGUCGGACAAAUGGCAGGAUGUGAUCUUCUACUUCCUCUGCGCCGCCUAUGCCGUCGUCUCGGCCGUGGCUCUGGUUCAACUAAUCCGAAUUCAGCUACGAGUCCCUGAAUAUGGAUGGACAACUCAGAAGAUCUUCCAUUUUAUGAAUUUUGUUGUGAAUGGAGUACGUGCUGUUGUGUUUGGAUUUCACACCGAUAUUUUUCUAUUCAGACCAAGAGUAUGUACUCUUGUGUUAUUGGACCUCCCUGGAAUAUUGUUUUUUUCUACAUACACACUACUUGUACUAUUUUGGGCUGAGAUAUAUCAUCAGGCAAGGAGUCUUCCGGCAGACAAGCUAAAAUUCAUAUAUAUCUUCAUUAAUUGCGCGGUAUAUAUCAUUCAGAUCUGUAUAUGGAUAUAUCUCUGGAUAAAUGAUAAUGAGGUUGUUGAGUCUAUUGGAAAGAUCUUUAUGGCAGUUGUGUCUUUUGUAGCUGCACUUGGUUUCUUGAUAUAUGGAGGAAGGCUGUUUGUCAUGCUGAGGCGAUUCCCAAUAGAAUCGAAGGGGCGACAAAAGAAACUGCACGAGGUUGAGUGGAUUAUCAGUUUCUGUGGAUUAUCAGGAUACAGGUCAGGCUUGGACUGGGCUGGCAUUGGCCGUGAUCCAGUGAAGAUAACUUCAGAUCUACAAGUCUGGCCCCAGCAUGUACCAAGGCUUGAUUUUGUUGGAUAUGUUACAGCAAUCUGUUUCACCUGCUUCCUUAUAAGGUGCAUUGUGGUUGGAUUAUCUGCAUUUGAUUCCAGUGAAUCUCUAGAUGUUUUGGAUCACCCAAUUUUGAAUUUCUUCUAUUAUAUGCUGACCGAGAUUCUUCCUUCGGGUCUUGUUCUGUACAUACUGCGCAAGCUCCCUCCAAAAAGAAUCUCAGCGCAAUAUCAUCCUAUCCGCUAAGAAGGUGUUAGUAUCCCUACCGGAUGUUUUUUUCUUGAAUAUUUCAUGGCUUACUCCAAAAUGUGCUGGAGGCCCUUUGUUUCUACUUAUUCGAGGCUCAUGAUGAAAAAUAUGUUUGGUGUAUAAGCACCUUCAAUUACUUACCGCCGCAUUGAGGUUGUGUUCUGUAUUAUUCAGAUGCCUUAGCUGCUUUCAAAGAGGUAGUCAGUAGUGAUCAUGCAUAUUGCAUAGAAGUUGUCUUCUUUUCAAAUCUUCAUUCAAGGGUGUAGUGUAUCUGGGGCUUGAAGUUUGUCAGCUACAUACUAUCAGUGCAUAAAUGAAGUCAAUGAAGUUCAACAGCUAAAAAGAAUUUCCCGCAGAUAUUGUAUCAGAAAUGCUUGACCCACAUCAUGUAGGAGAGAAAAAAAAAAACUUCGCAUCCUGCGGCUAGAGCUGCAGGAGGUGAUCAUGCCAUUUGCAGAUCAUCUGUGCCUGGCCUUGCAUGCUGAAUCAGAGCCUCCAUGAGCCCCGGUCGAUGCAGUGUGCAGGGUCCGGCAUGAGCACAGGGCAAAUGCAGGGAGAGAGGAUCUGGAUUCAUUGGUGGCCGCAUGAGCUGUUAACGUCAGAAUCCUCACCAUGCAGUCUCUGAAUCUUCUAACAACCUUUAAGCCAUCAACAAUGGAAUCUGCGAAGCUGCUGAAAAAUUUGAAACCAUCUGCAGCUUUGCUAGUGCCAUGAUUGUGAUUGGGUAUCCCUGCAGAAAUGUGGCAUUGGCCAAGGACCUGUAGAACAUUUGGCAAUCAUGAUAUCAUGGUGAAGAAAACUGUGUCAAUGAGAUCUCUGUUAAAAUC